CUUUGAUUGGCAUUCCUUUAGCCACUGGAGAAGAGGAAUGUUUUUUGCAUGCUUUUGUGUCCUAUGAUCACAGUGCUGAAAAUAAACUGAAAAAGGCAAUAAAUCUGAGUUAAAUUUAUUGAGUAUUCUCAUCAAUGACAUCGAUUCGACCGACUGGCCGGAGGACGUUGAUGUGAUCCUGGUGCAGCGACCUCAUAGCGAUGGAAGCAGACGUGGACAUCAGGAGAAGCAUGAAGACCUGUGCACACCCUCAAACCAAGCCGGGGCCCACGGAGCUGUGGCUGCUCUCACGGCGUGGAUGCUCUCUGGAGCAGCGCCUGCCCUUCUCAGAAGUCAGGGGCCUCCGGGUAAGAGAGUUUCCUUGGCAUGUGCCCAGGGACUAUGGCUCAGCGAGGACCUCCUCACUGGUGAGAGCCGGGCAGGCGGGCGGUGUGGCUGCCCACUUUCUGGGAGUGACUACUUCUGUGAUUCUGUCCUCGUCACCGGUGCUGUCCCGGGCUCUGCAGGCUGAAUUCACACGAGUAGACAGGGGCCCGCGUGCUCCUGUGCUCUGGA
rnacentral:lncRNA from 1 species